CUGGCGGCGUGCCUAACACAUGCAAGUCGAGCGAGGAGAUCCUUCGGGAUGAUCCUAGCGGCGGACGGGUGAGUAACACGUGGGCAACCUGCCUCAUAGAGAGGAAUAGCCUUCCGAAAGGGAGAUUAAUACCUCAUAACAUUGCAGUUUCGCAUGGAACAGCAAUUAAAGGAGCAAUCCACUAUGAGAUGGGCCCGCGGCGCAUUAGCUAGUUGGUGAGGUAACGGCUCACCAAGGCGACGAUGCGUAGCCGACCUGAGAGGGUGAUCGGCCACAUUGGGACUGAGACACGGCCCAGACUCCUACGGGAGGCAGCAGUGGGGAAUAUUGCACAAUGGGGGAAACCCUGAUGCAAGCAACGCCGCGUGAGUGAUGACGGCCUUCGGGUUGUAAAGCUCUGUCUUCAGGGACGAUAAUGACGGUACCUGAGGAGGAAGCCACGGCUAACUACGUGCCAGCAGCCGC
rnacentral:rRNA from 1 species